GAUGAACGCUGGCGACGUGCCUAACACAUGCAAGUCGAGCGAACAGACGAGGAGCUUGCUCCUCUGACGUUAGCGGCGGACGGGUGAGUAACACGUGGAUAACCUACCUAUAAGACUGGGAUAACUUCGGGAAACCGGAGCUAAUACCGGAUAAUAUAUUGAACCGCAUGGUUCAAUAGUGAAAGACGGUUUUGCUGUCACUUAUAGAUGGAUCCGCGCCGCAUUAGCUAGUUGGUAAGGUAACGGCUUACCAAGGCAACGAUGCGUAGCCGACCUGAGAGGGUGAUCGGCCACACUGGAACUGAGACACGGUCCAGACUCCUACGGGAGGCAGCAGUAGGGAAUCUUCCGCAAUGGGCGAAAGCCUGACGGAGCAACGCCGCGUGAGUGAUGAAGGUCUUCGGAUCGUAAAACUCUGUUAUUAGGGAAGAACAAAUGUGUAAGUAACUAUGCACGUCUUGACGGUACCUAAUCAGAAAGCCACGGCUAACUACGUG
rnacentral:rRNA from 1 species